UACAGAGGGUGCAAGCGUUAAUCGGAAUGACUGGGCGUAAAGGGUGCGUAGGUGGUGUUUUAAGUUAGAUGUGAAAUCCCUGGGCUUAACCUAGGAACUGCAUUUAAUACUGGGACACUAGAGUAUGGGAGAGGUAAGUGGAAUUUCCGGUGUAGCGGUGAAAUGCGUAGAUAUCGGAAGGAACACCAGUGGCGAAGGCGGCUUACUGGCCUAAUACUGACACUGAGGCACGAAAGCGUGGGGAGCAAACAGG
rnacentral:rRNA from 1 species